CACUAUCGUUAACUGAAUACAUAGGUUAACGAGGCGAACCGGGGGAACUGAAACAUCUAAGUACCCCGAGGAAAAGAAAUCAACCGAGAUUCCCCCAGUAGCGGCGAGCGAACGGGGAGCAGCCCAGAGUCUGAAUCAGCUUGUGUGUUAGUGGAACGGUCUGGAAAGUCCGACGGUACAGGGUGAUAGUCCCGUACACCAAAAUGCACAGGCUGUGAACUCGAAGAGUAGGGCGGGACACGUGGUAUCCUGUCUGAAUAUGGGGGGACCAUCCUCCAAGGCUAAAUACUCCUGACUGACCGAUAGUGAACCAGUACCGUGAGGGAAAGGCGAAAAGAACCCCGGCGAGGGGAGUGAAAAAGAACCUGAAACCGUGUACGUACAAGCAGUGGGAGCACCUUCGGGUGUGACUGCGUACCUUUUGUAUAAUGGGUCAGCGACUUAUAUUCUGUAGCAAGGUUAACCGUAUAGGGGAGCCGCAGGGAAACCGAGUCUUAACUGGGCGUUAAGUUGCAGGGUAUAGACCCGAAACCCGGUGAUCUAGCCAUGGGCAGGUUGAAGGUUGGGUAACACUAACUGGAGGACCGAACCGACUAAUGUUGAAAAAUUAGCGGAUGACUUGUGGCUGGGGGUGAAAGGCCAAUCAAACCGGGAGAUAGCUGGUUCUCCCCGAAAGCUAUUUAGGUAGCGCCUCGUGAACUCAUCUUCGGGGGUAGAGCACUGUUUCGGCUAGGGGGUCAUCCCGACUUACCAACCCGAUGCAAACUACGAAUACCGAAGAAUGUUAUCACGGGAGACACACGGCGGGUGCUAACGUCCGUCGUGAAGAGGGAAACAACCCAGACCGCCAGCUAAGGUCCCAAAGUCAUGGUUAAGUGGGAAACGAUGUGGGAAGGCACAGACAGCCAGGAUGUUGGCUUAGAAGCAGCCAUCAUUUAAAGAAAGCGUAAUAGCUCACUGGUCGAGUCGGCCUGCGCGGAAGAUGUAACGGGGCUAAACCAUGCACCGAAGCUGCGGCAGCGACACUAUGUGUUGUUGGGUAGGGGAGCGUUCUGUAAGCCUGCGAAGGUGACCUGUGAGGGUUGCUGGAGGUAUCAGAAGUGCGAAUGCUGACAUAAGUAACGAUAAAGCGGGUGAAAAGCCCGCUCGCCGGAAGACCAAGGGUUCCUGUCCAACGUUAAUCGGGGCAGGGUGAGUCGACCCCUAAGGCGAGGCCGAAAGGCGUAGUCGAUGGGAAACAGGUUAAUAUUCCUGUACUUGGUGUUACUGCGAAGGGGGGACGGAGAAGGCUAUGUUAGCCGGGCGACGGUUGUCCCGGUUUAAGCAUGUAGGCUGAUUGUCCAGGCAAAUCCGGAUAAUCAAGGCUGAGGUGUGAUGACGAGGCACUACGGUGCUGAAGUAACAAAUGCCCUGCUUCCAGGAAAAGCCUCUAAGCAUCAGGUAACAUUAAAUCGUACCCCAAACCGACACAGGUGGUCAGGUAGAGAAUACCAAGGCGCUUGAGAGAACUCGGGUGAAGGAACUAGGCAAAAUGGUGCCGUAACUUCGGGAGAAGGCACGCUGGUGUGUAGGUGAAGUCCCUGCGGAUGGAGCUGAGACCAGUCGAAGAUACCAGCUGGCUGCAACUGUUUAUUAAAAACACAGCACUGUGCAAACACGAAAGUGGACGUAUACGGUGUGACGCCUGCCCGGUGCCGGAAGGUUAAUUGAUGGGGUUAUCCGUAAGGAGAAGCUCUUGAUCGAAGCCCCGGUAAACGGCGGCCGUAACUAUAACGGUCCUAAGGUAGCGAAAUUCCUUGUCGGGUAAGUUCCGACCUGCACGAAUGGCGUAAUGAUGGCCAGGCUGUCUCCACCCGAGACUCAGUGAAAUUGAACUCGCUGUGAAGAUGCAGUGUACCCGCGGCAAGACGGAAAGACCCCGUGAACCUUUACUAUAGCUUGACACUGAACAUUGAGCCUUGAUGUGUAGGAUAGGUGGGAGGCUUUGAAGCGUGGACGCCAGUCUGCGUGGAGCCAACCUUGAAAUACCACCCUUUAAUGUUUGAUGUUCUAACGUUGGCCCCUUACCGGGGUUGCGGACAGUGUCUGGUGGGUAGUUUGACUGGGGCGGUCUCCUCCCAAAGCGUAACGGAGGAGCACGAAGGUUAGCUAAUCCUGGUCGGACAUCAGGAGGUUAGUGCAAUGGCAUAAGCUAGCUUGACUGCGAGCGUGACGGCGCGAGCAGGUGCGAAAGCAGGUCAUAGUGAUCCGGUGGUUCUGAAUGGAAGGGCCAUCGCUCAACGGAUAAAAGGUACUCCGGGGAUAACAGGCUGAUACCGCCCAAGAGUUCAUAUCGACGGCGGUGUUUGGCACCUCGAUGUCGGCUCAUCACAUCCUGGGGCUGAAGUAGGUCCCAAGGGUAUGGCUGUUCGCCAUUUAAAGUGGUACGCGAGCUGGGUUUAGAACGUCGUGAGACAGUUCGGUCCCUAUCUGCCGUGGGCGCUGGAGAAUUGAGGGGGGCUGCUCCUAGUACGAGAGGACCGGAGUGGACGCAUCACUGGUGUUCGGGUUGUCAUGCCAAUGGCACUGCCCGGUAGCUAAAUGCGGAAGAGAUAAGUGCUGAAAGCAUCUAAGCACGAAACUUGCCCCGAGAUGAGUUCUCCCUGAGACUUUAAGUCUCCUGAAGGAACGUUAAAGACGAUGACGUUGAUAGGCCGGGUGUGUAAGCGCAGCGAUGCGUUGAGCUAACCGGUACUAAUGAACCGUGAGGCUUAACCUU
rnacentral:rRNA from 1 species